rnacentral:rRNA from 1 species
GAUGAACGCUGGCGGCGUGCCUAAUACAUGCAAGUCGAGUGAACAGACGAGGAGCUUGCUCCUCUGACGUUAGCGGCGGACGGGUGAGUAACACGUGGAUAACCUACCUAUAAGACUGGGAUAACUUCGGGAAACCGGAGCUAAUACCGGAUAAUAUAUUGAACCGCAUGGUUCAAUAGUGAAAGACGGUUCUGCUGUCACUUAUAGAUGGAUCCGCGCCGCAUUAGCUAGUUGGUAAGGUAACGGCUUACCAAGGCAACGAUGCGUAGCCGACCUGAGAGGGUGAUCGGCCACACUGGAACUGAGACACGGUCCAGACUCCUACGGGAGGCAGCAGUAGGGAAUCUUCCGCAAUGGGCGAAAGCUUGACGGAGCAACGCCGCGUGAGUGAUGAAGGUCUUCGGAUCGUAAAACUCUGUUAUUAGGGAAGAACAAAUGUGUAAGUAACUAUGCACGUCUUGACGGUACCUAAUCAGAAAGCCACGGCUAACUACGUG